rnacentral:rRNA from 1 species
AGAGUUUGAUUAUGGCUCAGGAUGAACGCUAGCUACAGGCUUAACACAUGCAAGUCGAGGGGCAGCAUGUUGGUUGCUUGCAACCAAUGAUGGCGACCGGCGCACGGGUGAGUAACGCGUAUCCAACCUUCCCUAUAGUAGAGGAUAGCCCGGCGAAAGUCGGAUUAAUACUCUAUGUUUUCCAAUGCAGACAUCUAAAAUGGAACAAAGGUUCACCGCUAUAGGAUGGGGAUGCGUCUGAUUAGAUAGUCGGCGGGGUAACGGCCCACCGAGUCGACGAUCAGUAGGGGUUCUGAGAGGAAGGUCCCCCACAUUGGAACUGAGACACGGUCCAAACUCCUACGGGAGGCAGCAGUGAGGAAUAUUGGUCAAUGGGCGAGAGCCUGAACCAGCCAAGUAAGCGUGCAGGAUGACGGCCCUAUGGGUUGUAAACUGCUUUUAUACAGGGAUAAAGUGACGUACGUGUACGUUUUUGUAGGUACUGUAUGAAUAAGGACCGGCUAAUUCCGUGCCAGCCGCCGC